AUUCCAUGAUGAGAGCAUGCUAUAGUACAAGCCAUCAUGCAUUUCUAAGUUUCCCACAAGCUUUCACAAUCUCUUUGAUGAAACCUUGCAAUCUCAUUUCUAAACCU
rfam:Arabis alpina cultivar Pajares chromosome 2, whole genome shotgun sequence.